CCUACGGGGGGCAGCAGUGAGGCAUAUUGGUCAAUGGGCGCGAGCCUGAACCAGCCAAGUAGCGUGAAGGAUGACUGUCCUAUGGGUUGUAAACCUCUUUUAUAAAGGAAUACAGUGAGGCACGCGUGCCUUUUUGUAUGUACUUUAUGAAUAAGGAUCGGCUAACUCCGUGCCAGCAGCCGCGGUAAUCCGGAGGAUCCGAGCGUUAUCCGGAUUUCUUGGGUUUAAAGGGUGCGUAGAUGGGUUGUUAAGUCAGGUGUGAAAGUUUGCGGCUCAACCGUAAAAUUGCAGUUGAUACUGGCAGUCUUGAGUGCAUGUGAGGUAGGCGGAAUUCGUGGUGUAGCGGUGAAAUGCUUAGAUAUCACGAAGAACUCCGAUUGCGAAGGCAGCUUACUAAACUGCCACUGACGUUGAUGCUCGAAAGUGUGGGUAUCGAACAGGAUUAGAUACCCCAGUAGUC
rnacentral:rRNA from 1 species